GACAGAGGUGCCGAGCGUUAGGCGGAAUCACUGGGCUUAAAGCGUGUGUAGGCGGGCGGGCAAGUACCUUGUGAAAUCCCACGGCUCAACCGUGGAACUGCUGGGUAUACUGCCUGUCUUGAGCCAGUCAGGGGCAGUCGGAACAGACGGUGGAGCGGUGAAAUGCGUAGAUAUUGGGAGGAACACCAGUGGCGAAGGCGGCUCACUGGACCGGAACUGACGCUGAGGCGCGAAAGCGUGGGGAGCAAACGGG
rnacentral:rRNA from 1 species